UUAUACAGUUCUAUUAGUGGUCCAGUUCUAUUAUACAGUUCUAUUAGUGGUCCAGUUCUAUUAGAGGUCCAGUUCUAUUAUACAGUUCUAUUAGUGGUCCAGUUCUAUUAUACAGUUCUAUUAGUGGUCCAGUUCUAUUAGUGGUCCAGUUCUAUUAUACAGUUCUAUUAGUGGUCCAGUUCUAUUAUACAGUUCUAUUAGUGGUCCAGUUCUAUUAUACAGUUCUAUUAGUGGUCCAGUUCUAUUAUACAGUUCUAUUAGUGGUCCAGUUCUAUUAGUGGUCCAGUUCUAUUAUACAGUUCUAUUAGUGGUCCAGUUCUAUUAUACAGUUCUAUUAGUGGUCCAGUUCUAUUAUACAGUUCUAUUAGUGGUCCAGUUCUAUUAUACAGUUCUAUUAGUGGUCCAGUUCUAUUAUACAGUUCUAUUAGUGGUCCAGUUCUAUUAUACAGUUCUAUUAGUGGUCCAGUUCUAUUAUACAGUUCUAUUAGUGGUCCAGUUCUAUUAUACAGUUCUAUUAGUGGUCCAGUUCUAUUAGAGGUCCAGUUCUAUUAUACAGUUCUAUUAGUGGUCCAGUUCUAUUAUACAGUUCUAUUAGUGGUCCAGUUCUAUUAGAGGUCCAGUUCUAUUAUACAGUUCUAUUAGUGGUCCAGUUCUAUUAGAGGUCCAGUUCUAUUAUACAGUUCUAUUAGUGGUCCAGUUCUAUUAUACAGUUCUAUUAGUGGUCCAGUUCUAUUAUACAGUUCUAUUAGUGGUCCAGUUCUAUUAUACAGUUCUAUUAGUGGUCCAGUUCUAUUAGAGGUCCAGUUCUAUUAUACAGUUCUAUUAGUGGUCCAGUUCUAUUAGAGGUCCAGUUCUAUUAUACAGUUCUAUUAGUGGUCCAGUUCUAUUAGUGGUCCAGUUCUAUUAUACAGUUCUAUUAGUGGUCCAGUUCUAUUAGAGGUCCAGUUCUA